GUACACGCUGUGACUAGCAUAUCAAUAAGCGGAGGAAAAGAAACUAACAAGGAUUCCCCUAGUAACGGCGAGUGAAGCGGGAAGAGCUCAAAUUUGAAAUCUUAAAGGGUUUCCCUUUACGAAUUGUAGUUUAAAGAAGUGUUUUCUGUUGAGGUUUUGGUAAAAGUUCUUUGGAAUAGGACAUCAUAGAGGGUGAGAAUCCCGUAUUUGACCUUUACUUUCAACUUUGUGAUACACAUUCAAAGAGUCGGAUUGUUUGGGAAUGCAGUCCAAAAUGGGUGGUAAAUUUCAUCUAAAGCUAAAUAUUGGCGAGAGACCGAUAGCGAACAAGUAUCGUGAGGGAAAGAUGAAAAGAACUUUGAAAAGAGAGUUAAACAGUACGUGAAAUUGUCAAAAGGGAAGCGUUUGACACCAGUGUUGUUUUUCUGAAAAUCAAUUAAAGAACUGUUUAUGCUAAGUUGUUUAGACUUUAUCAGCUAACUGUUUAGUUUUGAGCUUUUCUUUAAUGCACUUUUCAGUUAACAAGUCAACAUCAAUUUCUUUUGCUGUAAAAAAGCUUGAGGAAGGUGGCUUGAGAUUCGUCUUAAGUGUUUAUAGCCUCUUGCCUAUGCAGUCGGAGAGAUUGAGGUCUGCAGCGUAGAUCCUUCGGGGCUAAAUGCAUUUGUGCUAAGUUAUAGCAUUUUAUAGACAACUUGUUGACUAUGAUUUGUCUUGUAGCUUACUCGCUUAUGUUAUUUUACCUACGCUUAGGAUGUUGAAGUCAUCGUAUCGCGC
rnacentral:rRNA from 1 species